rnacentral:rRNA from 1 species
AGAUUGAACGCUGGCGGAAUGCUUUACACAUGCAAGUCGAACGGCAGCACGGGACUCAGGCAACUGAGCCCUGGUGGCGAGUGGCGAACGGGUGAGUAACAUAUCGGAACGUACCCAGUCGUGGGGGAUAACUCUCCGAAAGGAGAGCUAAUACCGCAUACGUCCUGAGGGAGAAAGCGGGGGACCUAAGGGUAACUGAGGGCCUCGCGCGAUUGGAGCGGCCGAUAUCGGAUUAGCUAGUUGGUGAGGUAAAGGCUCACCAAGGCGACGAUCCGUAGCGGGUCUGAGAGGACGACCCGCCACACUGGAACUGAGACACGGUCCAGACUCCUACGGGAGGCAGCAGUGGGAAUUUUGGACAAGUGGGGGCAACCUGAUCCAGCCAUUCCGCGUCGAGUGAAGAAGGCCUUCGGUUGUAAGCUCUUUCAGCAGGAACGAACGGUGGUACGUUAAGUACGGUACCUAGUUAAUGACGGUACUA